CUUGCUCAUUUUUGUCUAGGGUGGACAUCACAACCGGUUUCUUUGUCACAUGUAAGCCAAACUGCUGAAAAGGUCUAUGAUGAGUGGAACUACACUAAACAGGUAUUUUGGUGACUCUGUAAAAUACAGUUGUUCAGCUCCUGAAUGGGAUGGGAAAGGCAGGCUCCUGACAUUCUAAUUUGAAAUAUGUUUCUUGUGACAAUGCAAAGUGACAAUGACUAUUUUUAAACCCCUCAGGUGUUCAGGCCUUGUUGCAGCUGUAUCCUACUGGUGACUUAAUUAGGGCCUUGCCAGCUCUUCUCAGUGGUCCACCCCAGCCUGCUUUCAGCAUGCCGGAUAAGGGGGUACCGGCCCUGUGUUUUGUUUGUCGUCCGGUCCACUGCUUUCUUUUGUGCAUGAAGAGAAGUAUUCCAGCUGUCCUUAUACCAGCUUGCACCAUACUCUCCAGUUAGGCGGAGGGAGAAAAAAUCCCAUGAAGGUUUUAUGUUAUGCUUCAGAAGAAACUUCCCCCAGAAGCUCAAACUGAAACAGACCUUAUGGAAAAGGAGCUUUGAGUAAAAAGUCUAUUCCCAUGGAAAGUAUUGGUGUUCCAGCCUUUUCACCCAGAAGAUCAAAAUACCUAAGACCUGGUUUACUGCAACACAGUCCAGAACCAGAAUUCCAGUUAUCCAGAAGAAGGAUGUUGACUUUGGAGACAUGAUGUAUUUGUCACAAGGAAUGGCCAGGUUAACCACCUCUGAGAUGGGAAACUCCAGCUCUUUC